CAAUGUGGUCUUCAGCUCAGCCUUCGGGGCCAAAGGAGACCAAGAAGGUCUUCCUGAGUUUUCAGCUCCACAGUUCAGACAGGUCCCCUUUCUUGCCUCUGCUCUCAGGCCACUUUCUGACCCUGUAUCCUAAGGGGUUUUCUACGUGGAUUCAAAGUCAGAGUGACCUAGAGAAAGCCUGGGUUGCUGACGUCCUUCCUUUCCCAGUGUUCUCAGCAUACCAAGAUCACCCUUGGCUUCAUAGCCAAACUCUAACAUUUGAGUUUUUGUAAGACGGGGGGAGAAGGGAGGGUUUUAUUGUAGAAGCAUGGAUUCUCUUCGACAGUCAAGGUAAACAGGACUUCUAUUAAGAAAGUAUUCUGCUAGGGGGAACUCUAGUUGCUUUUUAGAGAGCCAAAAGCCGUGGGGAGGUAAACAGAUUUCCUUAGAGGUCGAGCACUUGGCCAGUGUGUUUAUGGAAUGUAUGGCCCUUUAACCAAAACUUCUAUCCCUUCAGUGAAGCAUGGAUUUUAUUUUCUCCUGGUUUUGGAGCAAAUCACUGUAGGCGUUUCUGAAAGAACAAUCUUCUGUUUUUCUCUAUCUGCUGAGAAAUCAAGUAAGAAAAGCCAGUUAAUGAUCCGGUUACUUAAAACCACUCAUUUCAGCAUAUUUGCUUUGCUGAGAAGAAGAGGCCUUGUUAACAAGGACUGAGGGGGUGUGUCUUUGCUUCCAGAUUAAGCGUAAAGAGCAAAAUUUACUGUCCACUGUUACUGAGCUCUGUGGGUCCUUUUAUUCCUGAACAUUUCCCUCAGGAUUCCUCACCCAAAAGGACCUGGAACAUGAGGAGACUGUCAUGCCUAUGACUAUGUCACAUCACAGCCAGAGGGAGAUCCUCCACGUGGGCCUAAGUGAAUCUCACAAGCCCUUUCCAUGCAGUUUUCUCCACCUGGUGGCAAGAGGGAAAGUUGGAAAGAUUCAGAGCAUGAGAAGGUUUCAGUGCAUGGAUGUUGGCUUUGAAGGGGGCCUUGGAGGAAGGUGUGCACAAGACCAGAGAGUGGCCCCUAGGAGCUGAGUGACCCCUGGCCAACAGCUAGAAAAGAAAGUAGGACCCUCAGUUCUACAGCCACAAGCAACUGGACUCUGUCAGCAGCCUGAAUACCUGGGAAAACAGUUGUUUUCCAGAGCCUCCAGG